UGCCCUGCAACUCCUAUCCCUACCUGCUCGCAGUACUGGACGGGGUACGAGUAACCUCGGGUAACCAACCCUCGGUGGGAACUUUGGUCGUAUGCUGACAGGGAAGG
rfam:Aedes aegypti strain Liverpool supercont1.713 genomic scaffold, whole genome shotgun sequence.